AUUGAACGCUGGCGGCAGGCUUAACACAUGCAAGUCGAGCGGAGUGAUGGUGCUUGCACUAUUACUUAGCGGCGGACGGGUGAGUAAUGCUUAGGAAUCUGCCAUUUAGUGGGGGACAACAUUCCGAAAGGAAUGCUAAUACCGCAUACGUCCUACGGGAGAAAGCAGGGGAUCUUCGGACCUUGCGCUAAAUGAUGAGCCUAAGUCGGAUUAGCUAGUUGGUGAGGUAAAGGCCUACCAAGGCGACGAUCUGUAGCGGGUCUGAGAGGAUGAUCCGCCACACUGGGACUGAGACACGGCCCAGUCUCCUACGGGAGGCAGCAGUGGGGAAUAUUGGACAAUGGGCGGAAGCCUGAUCCAGCCAUGCCGCGUGUGUGAAGAAGGCCUUUUGGUUGUAAAGCACUUUAAGCGAGGAGGAGGCUCUCCUAGUUAAUACCUAGGAAGAGUGGACGUUACUCGCAGAAUAAGCACCGGCUAACUCUGUGCCAGCCGCCGCGGUAAAAC
rnacentral:rRNA from 1 species